UGCAGUCGACGAUGAAGCCGCUUCGGUGGUGGAUUAGUGGCGAACGGGUGAGUAACACGUGGGCAAUCUGCCCUGCACUCUGGGACAAGCCCUGGAAACGGGGUCUAAUACCGGAUAAUACCUGCCGAGGCAUCUUGGCGGGUUGAAAGCUCCGGCGGUGCAGGAUGAGCCCGCGGCCUAUCAGCUUGUUGGUGGGGUGAUGGCCUACCAAGGCGACGACGGGUAGCCGGCCUGAGAGGGCGACCGGCCACACUGGGACUGAGACACGGCCCAGACUCCUACGGGAGGCAGCAGUGGGGAAUAUUGCACAAUGGGCGAAAGCCUGAUGCAGCGACGCCGCGUGAGGGAUGACGGCCUUCGGGUUGUAAACCUCUUUCAGCAGGGAAGAAGCGCAAGUGACGGUACCUGCAGAAGAAGCGCCGGCUAACUACGUGCCAGCAGCCGCGGUAAUACGUAGGGCGCAAGCGUUGUCCGGAAUUAUUGGGCGUAAAGAGCUCGUAGGCGGCUUGUUGCGUCGGAUGUGAAAGCCCGGGGCUUAACCCCGGGUCUGCAUUCGAUACGGGCAGGCUAGAGUUCGGUAGGGGAGAUCGGAAUUCCUGGUGUAGCGGUGAAAUGCGCAGAUAUCAGGAGGAACACCGGUGGCGAAGGCGGAUCUCUGGGCCGAUACUGACGCUGAGGAGCGAAAGCGUGGGGAGCGAACAGGAUUAGAUACCCUGGUAGUCCACGCCGUAAACGUUGGGAACUAGGUGUGGGCGACAUUCCACGUCGUCCGUGCCGCAGCUAACGCAUUAAGUUCCCCGCCUGGGGAGUACGGCCGCCAAGGCUAAAACUCAAAGGAAUUGACGGGGGGCCCGCACAAGCAGCGGGAGCAUGUGGCUUA
rnacentral:rRNA from 1 species